rfam:Candidatus Marinimicrobia bacterium TMED80 15157, whole genome shotgun sequence.
GGACUUAAUAGUUGAGAGCGUUGCCCUUACAAGGCAGAUGUCGGGAGUUCGAAUCUCUCAACGCCCA